GCAUCUUACUGGAGAUCCCUGCGUACUUGAGGCCUUCAAAGGUAAGCAAAGUUUCUUCAAGUCUAAACCAAAAGACCAAGCAAGUUCAUCCAGUGCAGCUGAGUUUGGGUUCUGGCCUUCUUAAAGAGAUGUGGGCUUUAUGUGAGGAACUGAAAGUGAGUUCAGGGAACAGCUCAUUCCAGGACCAUCUGCAAAGAACUGAAGGUCAGGAUGUGUCCUGGUGAUAGAUGUUGGUAAUACAGGAAAAUGUAUCCAUUUUGCUGCCCAGCAAUGCAUAUCAACAUCAAGGAAUUUGAACUGCCUUCAGCAUAUUCAUUUCUUGCCUGCCUCUUCUCAGAGCACCUCAGAGAUGUAAUUGCUUUGCCUGACCAAUGGAGUCAGACAUGUUUUGUUUGCCAGCACCAUGAAAAAAGAGGACACGUUUACCUUUGUUAUAAAACAUAGCAAGCCUGAUUCUAAUUUCAGCUGCACUGGGUUUGCACAAAUCUAUCUCCACUGCUGUUAAUCCAGCUUUACUUUUACUUUUUAAAUAUAUUUUAGUUUCAGCUGGGGCUGUGGUUAAAAUACAGAUGUGAUAAAACCAGCUCUCCUGGCCAAGAUGAACACAGCAAGAUGAAACCAUCAUCACUAUUUUGGAGACAUUUAACAGGAAGCAGCACAAAGUAGAAAUGGGAGUAAAGUUUGGAUGGGUGAAUUUUCAUGCGAAUGACAUCUGCAAGUCAGUCCCUAAGAGAAAUGUCAGUAUCCCCUUCCAUCUUGGCUCCACCACAAGAAAAACAGACAACUGCCUGAUGUGGGUCCAAUCAGCAACUCAUUUUGUAGUGGUGGUGGGAGAAGAAUGCUGCAACUAUUGGGCUAGGUCAGACCUGGUAAUUCUCUGGUGCGUAUGUCAGGCUGCAAGAACAGCUACCCCUGCAAUGCUGAGCUCGGAUGGCUGCAGUGUCCCUGUGAGCCAGGGGGAUCUCAGUGUUAGGCUCUUUUUCUCUAUUCUUUGAUGCAUAAAACUUUCAAGGAGGCUGUUUUAGCUUAAAUAAAAUUUCUAAAACUUAUCUUUUUAUUUGAAUACUUCUCUCCUGCAGCGACUUCUUCAACAAAGAGGG
rnacentral:lncRNA from 7 species